rnacentral:rRNA from 1 species
UACGUAGGGUGCGAGCGUUAAUCGGAAUUACUGGGCGUAAAGUGUGCGCAGGCGGCCGCGCAAGUCGAGUGUGAAAGCCCCGGGCUUAACUUGGGAAUUGCGCUCGAAACUACGUGGCUGGAGUGUGGCAGAGGAAGGUGGAAUUCCACGUGUAGCAGUGAAAUGCGUAGAGAUGUGGAGGAACACCGAUGGCGAAGGCAGCCCCCUGGGUCAACACUGACGCUCAUGCACGAAAGCGUGGGGAGCAAACAGG